rnacentral:snRNA from 1 species
AGCUUUGCACAGUGGCAGUAUUGUAAUCAAUGAGGUUGAUCCGAGGCACAAUUAUUGCUAAUUGAAACCUUAAAUCCUGCCUUCAGUGACACCUCCUCCAAUUAGGCCACACCUCCUAAAACGGUCUACCAAC